CCUACGGGUGGCAGCAGUCGAGAAUCAUUCACAAUGGGGGAAACCCUGAUGGUGCGACGCCGCGUGGGGGAAUGAAGGUCUUCGGAUUGUAAACCCCUGUCAUGUGGGAGCAAAUUAAAAAGAUAGUACCACAAGAGGAAGAGACGGCGAACUGGGUGCCAGCAGCCGCGGUAAUACAGAGGUCUCAAGCGUUGUUCGGAAUCACUGGGCGUAAAGCGUGCGUAGGCUGUUUCGUAAGUCGUGUGUGAAAGGCGCGGGCUCAACCCGCGGACGGCACAUGAUACUGCGAGACUAGAGUAAGGGAGGGGGAACCGGAAUUCUCGGUGUAGCAGUGAAAUGCGUAGAUAUCGCGAGGAACACUCGUGGCGAAGGCGGGUUCCUGGACAUUAACUGACGCUGAGGCACGAAGGCCAGGGGAGCGAAAGGGAUUAGAUACCCCAGUAGUC
rnacentral:rRNA from 1 species